UACGAAGGGGGCUAGCGUUGUUCGGAAUUACUGGGCGUAAAGCGCACGUAGGCGGACUUGUAAGUCAGGGGUGAAAUCCCGGGGCUCAACCCCGGAACUGCCUUUGAUACUGCAAGUCUAGAGGUCGAGAGAGGUGAGUGGAAUUCCGAGUGUAGAGGUGAAAUUCGUAGAUAUUCGGAGGAACGCCAGUGGCGAAGGCGGCUCACUGGCUCGAUACUGACGCUGAGGUGCGAAAGCGUGGGGAGCAAACAGG
rnacentral:rRNA from 1 species